UCCCAGACUCCUACGGGAGGCAGCAGUGAGGAAUAUUGGUCAAUGGUCGGGAGACUGAACCAGCCAAGCCGCGUGAGGGAGGAAGGUACAGAGUAUCGUAAACCUCUUUUGUCAGGGAACAAAGGCGGGGACGUGUCCCCGGAUGAGUGUACCUGAAGAAAAAGCAUCGGCUAACUCCGCGCCAGCAGCCGCGGUAAUACGGAGGAUGCGAGCGUUAUCCGGAUUUAUUGGGUUUAAAGGGUGCGCAGGCGGUCUGUUAAGUCAGCGGUCAAAGCCCGGGGCUCAACCCCGGCCCACCGUUGAAACUGGCGGCCUCGAGUGGGCGAGAAGUAUGCGGAAUGCGUGGUGUAGCGGUGAAAUGCAUAGAUAUCACGCAGAACUCCGAUUGCGAAGGCAGCAUACCGGCGCUCAACUGACGCUCAUGCACGAAAGUGUGGGUAUCGAACAGGAUUAGAUACCCCAGUA
rnacentral:rRNA from 1 species